rnacentral:rRNA from 1 species
AUUGAACGCUGGCGGCAUGCCUAACACAUGCAAGUCGAGCGGAGCGUCGGACGGGUGAGUAAUGCCUAGGAAUCUGCCUGGUGUUGAGGGAUCCCGUCCGGAAACGCGCGCUAAUACCGCAUACUAUAAGAUUAGCCUCGGUCGGAUUAGCUAGUUGGUGGGGUAAAGGCCUACCAAGGCGACGAUCCGUAACUGGUCUGAGAGGAUGAUCAGUCACACUGGAACUGAGACACGGGCCAGACUCCUACGGGAGGCAGCAGUGGGGAAUAUGGGACAAUGGGCGAAAGCCUGAUCCAGCCAUGCCGCGUGAGUGAAGAAGGUCUUCGGAUUGUAAAGCACUUUAAGUUGGGAGGCGUUAUCAACAGAGUAAGCAACGGCUAACUUCGUGCCAGCAGCCGCGGUAAUAC